rnacentral:rRNA from 2 species
GGAUGCGAUCAUACCAGCACUAAAGCACCGGAUCCCAUCAGAACCCCGAAGUUAAGCGUGCUUGGGCGAGAGUAGUACUAGGAUGGGUGACCUCUUGGGAAGUCCUCGUGUUGCAUUCC